rnacentral:rRNA from 1 species
AUUGAACGCUGGCGGCAUGCUUUACACAUGCAAGUCGAACGGUAACAGGCCGCAAGGUGCUGACGAGUGGCGAACGGGUGAGUAAUGCAUCGGAACGUGCCCAGUCGUGGGGGAUAACUACUCGAAAGAGUAGCUAAUACCGCAUACGAUCUAUGGAUGAAAGCGGGGGACCGUAAGGCCUCGCGCGAUUGGAGCGGCCGAUGUCAGAUUAGGUAGUUGGUGGGGUAGAGGCUCACCAAGCCAACGAUCUGUAGCUGGUCUGAGAGGACGACCAGCCACACUGGGACUGAGACACGGCCCAGACUCCUACGGGAGGCAGCAGUGGGGAAUUUUGGACAAUGGGCGCAAGCCUGAUCCAGCAAUGCCGCGUGCAGGAAGAAGGCCUUCGGGUUGUAAACUGCUUUUGUACGGAACGAAACGGCUCUGGUUAAUACCCGGGGCUAAUGACGGUACCGUAAGAAUAAGCACCGGCUAACUACGUG